rnacentral:rRNA from 1 species
AUGGCAUCGCAGGCGAUCGAGGUGAACAAGGAGGGCGCGGAGGUGUACCAUGGUGCGGCGUUGUGCGCAGAGAAGGCGACGGAGCUGCUGGCCGAGACCAACAUGCCGCUGGGCCUGCUGCCGCUGGCGGACAUCGAGGAGGUCGGCUCCAACCGCUCCACGGGCUUCGUGUGGCUGCGCCAGAAGAAGGCGCUCACGCACACCUUCAAGCAGAUCGGGAGGCUGGUCUCGUACGCCACCGAGGUGACGGCCUUCGUCGAGGACCGCAGGAUGAAGCGGAUCACGGGGGUCAAGAGCAAGGAGCUCCUCAUCUGGGUCACCGUCUGCGACAUGUACAUCGACAAGAACGACCACUCGAAGAUCAGUUUCAAGACGCCCACCGGACUGGGAAGGUCCUUCCCCGUCUCCGCCUAUGGAAAGGAGCAGGACGACUUCAAACCCAAGCAGGCCGCCAAAUAA